GAUGAACGCUGGCGGUAUGCUUAACACAUGCAAGUCGAACGGACUCUUCGGAGUUAGUGGCGGACGGGUGAGUAACGCGUGAGAAUCUGGCUUUGGGUUCGGGACAACCACUGGAAACGGUGGCUAAUGCCGGAUGUGCCGAGAGGUAAAAGAGAAAUUGCCUGAAGAUGAGCUCGCGUCUGAUUAGCUAGUUGGUGAGGUAAAGGCUCACCAAGGCAGCGAUCAGUAGCUGGUCUGAGAGGAUGACCAGCCACACUGGGACUGAGACACGGCCCAGACUCCUACGGGAGGCAGCAGUGGGGAAUUUUCCGCAAUGGGCGAAAGCCUGACGGAGCAAUACCGCGUGAGGGAAGAAGGCUCUUGGGUUGUAAACCUCUUUUCUUAGGGAAGAACAAAAUGACGGUACCUAAGGAAUCAGCAUCGGCUAACUCCGUG
rnacentral:rRNA from 1 species